AGAAAAGUAUUUAAAAGUAAUAAAAUCUAAUUUGCAAUUAGAAAUUGAAUUGUCCUUUUCUG
rnacentral:tRNA from 1 species